ensembl:snRNA U6 U6 spliceosomal RNA
GUUUGGUAGUGCACAUAAUAAAAAUUUGGAAUUAUACAGAGAAGACGAAAAUGGUCUCUACAUAAUGAUGACAUACAAAUACGUAAUAUGUUCCAUUUUUUA